AUUGAACGCUGGCGGCAUGCCUUACACAUGCAAGUCGAACGGCAGCACGGGUGCUUGCACCUGGUGGCGAGUGGCGAACGGGUGCGUAAUACAUCGGAACAUGUCCUGUAGUGGGGGAUAGCCCGGCGAAAGCCGGAUUAAUACCGCAUACGAUCCACGGAUGAAAGCGGGGGACCUUCGGGCCUCGCGCUAUAGGGUUGGCCGAUGGCUGAUUAGCUAGUUGGUGGGGUAAAGGCCUACCAAGGCGACGAUCAGUAGCUGGUCUGAGAGGACGACCAGCCACACUGGGACUGAGACACGGCCCAGACUCCUACGGGAGGCAGCAGUGGGGAAUUUUGGACAAUGGGCGAAAGCCUGAUCCAGCAAUGCCGCGUGUGUGAAGAAGGCCUUCGGGUUGUAAAGCACUUUUGUCCGGAAAGAAAUCCUUGGCUCUAAUACAGUCGGGGGAUGACGGUACCGGAAGAAUAAGCACCGGCUAACUACGUG
rnacentral:rRNA from 1 species